rnacentral:lncRNA from 1 species
AAAAUAACUAUAGCCGACGAAAUAUGCCAUAAUUCAUCGGCUAAACCUUAUAAAAAAUUUAAAAUAUUAUAGCCGACAAAUAAACCUUUAAAUAUCGUCCGCUAAAGUUGCUGGUUUUUGAAAAAAAAAACUGCAGAAACUUUCGGCCACGUCCAAUCACCACCAAAAUUUGACAGAAUCUUCCUCUCAACAUUUCGAACAACUUUCUAGAAGAAGUCGAAGCCCAAUUCUAAGCCUAAACAGGUCAAUUAAAUCAAAAUAUAAAAAUCCUCAAUUUUAAACUCUAAAAACUUCAAAUCUUCGAUUCUCCUCACACACACCGAAUCGAGCUACCAAAUUCUAAGGGAAUGUAGUACUAAUCAAACUCAACUUAUCCAUAUAUAGAACUCAUCAAAUGGUGACCUGAGGAAGGAGAAAUUCGAUCGACACCGAAUCCAAACCGGCGGAGUUUUGGAGCUCGAUUUAUCUCUCACGGCGACGCCACUCGAUGCACCACCUAUCCAGCAAUGAAGUAGAGAUGACGGCGAAGCUUUUGGGACAAGUGUGGCGGUCUCCGGUGGCUUGACGGCGGAGCUAGGCCGAGAAGAAAAUCUAGCAGGCGAAAUAGACUUCUUACCAUCCACCUUCGGUAAAACUCCUAUAUAAAGAACUUUAGCCGACGAAAAUAAUAUAAAGAACUUUAGCCGACGAAAUUCUUUAUUUUCGUCGGCUAAACUCUUUUGAAAAUUUUGGUUGACCGCCAAAAAAUUUUGGUUGAAAAUUUUUCGACUUUAGCCGACGACUUUUCAUAUAUUUUCGUCGGCUAAAGUCCUUUGAAAAUUUUCCUCCAAAUUUGGUUUACCGCCCAAAAAUUUUUGACCUUAGCCGACGACUUUUUUAAUAUCUCGUCGGCUAAAGUCUAUAAAUUCACGAAAACGCUCAUAUCUCCCUCUAUAUUACGUAGUUUGGUCAAACCUUCCACACGAAAAAUUUUCACAUAGAUGAGAUGCAACCGCCUAUAUAAAAAUUUUGAGACAUUUGCCUUCCGACGAUAGGGCUCCCCAUAAGGAAUAAUAACGGUAAAUAGGGUUGACCGCUACUAUCGGCACCGAGACUUUACUCAAUUUACGUGAUUUUUGAACCAUAGCCGUAUUUCACCAUUCUGAACACAUCUUAUUUCACGAGAUUUUUGAUAAUUUUUGCUUCCUAUAUAGAGUUGGUUCACAAAGUUGUAUAACCUACUAAAUAAGUUAUACAACAUUAGUAGACACGUUGUGAUUCCGAUGACUAAAAUUCACAAACCAAAAUUCGACCGUCAGAUAUGAUC